rnacentral:rRNA from 1 species
UACGUAGGGGGCUAGCGUUGUCCGGAAUCAUUGGGCGUAAAGCGCACGUAGGUGGCGACGUAAGUCGGGUGUGAAAGCCCCGGGCUCAACCUGGGAAUUGCAUUCGAGACUGCAUUGCUGGAGUACGGAAGAGGAGGGCGGAAUUCCCGGUGUAGCGGUGAAAUGCGUAGAUAUCGGGAGGAACAUCAGUGGCGAAGGCGGCCCUCUGGUCCAGUACUGACACUCAAGUGCGAAAGCGUGGGGAGCAAACAGG